UUUUCAGUAUAAGUAUGUCCCAUGCAAUUCGGGGACAUACUUAUACUAAAA
rnacentral:pre_miRNA from 1 species